GCUGAUUUUGACGCCCUAAAAACUGAUUAUAUUGAUUCUUUGGUUUUGUUAGAGAGAUGUAUUUUGGUCACUACUAUUCUAUACUUUGCUUCCAGCCAACCUUUUUGUAUCCUGUGUAUGCUUUUGUGGUGCCUUGGUAAUUUUAUGUGGUGCCUAUGUGUUGUGAUUAUAUUGAUUUUUUUUGUUGCGUUUUGUUAGAGAUGUACUUUUUAAAAUUCUUCUGACCUUUUCUAGAGAUAUGCAUGUCCUAAUGAAAUUGCAUUAUAUCUGAUCCAUGGCCCAAUCAUCCUGGAGGCACUUGCACUGGUCGUAAAGGAGUCAGCUUGAAGUCAAAGUCCAUCUCAGGUGUAAAACCUGUGCUCCCCAAUUCUUCUUUCCUUGUUCUUUGGAAUUGCCCCUGAUGCCGUUACUUAUAAUGCCCCUGAUGCCGUUACUUAUAAUGCCUUCAUGAACGGGAUAUGUAAAGAAGGGAGGGUGGAUGAUGCUUUUAGAGUAUGUGAUAAUAUGAAAAGUGAAGGACUGGCAUUAGAUGAUAUUACCUAUACGACUUUGAUCCAUGAGUGUCCCUGAGGGCUGGUUGCAAAUUUUGGCAUGGAAAGUUUAUUGUUGAUCAUGGGACAACAAUGAUACUUCUCUUUCUCAAAUACUGUACUGGUUGCUAACAUCAGAGUUGCAUGCUUGCUUCUCACGCCUAGAAUGUCAGGUGCAUUUGAGCUUGAGAUUCCUGACUGAGCUGUUAGCCGAAACAGGCUGAUGCUGCAGGAUGCACAUGUGUGGGGGUUGUGAUGACUUUCUUGCAUCAUGAAGAUGAAUUGGGAGAGAAAGGAUCUAUUUGGAGUUUUAAACUAUGUAGAUUUGUUUUUUGUUUUAAUAGUUAGUUUCCUUCACAUAUAUUCUGAAAUGUUGGCCUAAAUGGAUUUAAAAUUUUUCAGGAACUUCUCCUGGAUGAAUAGAAGUGCCAUGUAUCACAAUCUUGCACCAUUCAUCUGUUAAUUGGCAGGUAGAGAAGAUUUAUCAGAUAGAUUGCUGUUUUCAUUAUCUGGCCAACGAGGUGGUAGAACAACCCCCCUCCCCCUUUUUCUUGGUUGAGGGAAUUGGGAUUUUGAGGUAGGAAUAAAUAAGAAACUUCAAAGUAGGCAGUUAGUUCUUCCAGAAAUACUAAAUUAGGUGGUUGUAAGAUGAUUCAUUCAUCAUGUCAUGUCAUGUCAAAGAAGGAAAUUAGAUAGAAAGAAACUAAUAAAAAGUCAAGAAUGAGAAUGUCAGAUUGCUGAGAUUUUUGAGCUUCAACUCGGUUUUGAAACAUAAAUAAAUUUGGUACUGCUUUGUUAUUUAAUGUAUCUAAUUUUAUGGAUAUAUAUUUUGUUUGUGGCUUUUUCUAUAUUUCUUUCUCUUAGUAUUUAGGGAGAAACUUUAUUUUGCAUCACUUCACAUAAACUAUGAGCAUUCAAAUUUGUCAUUGCUUUGCAAAUAACUAGACAGGUUCUUAUGAUUUUUAUAACAGUCUGGCUUUGA